CCAGACUCCUACGGGAGGCAGCAGUGGGGGAUAUUGCACAAUGGGGGGAACCCUGAUGCAGCGACGCCGCGUGGGUGAAGGAGUAUUUCGGUAUGUAAAGCCCUAUCGGCAGGGAAGAAACAGACGGUACCUGACUAAGAAGCCCCGGCUAACUACGUGCCAGCAGCCGCGGUAAUACGUAGGGGGCAAGCGUUAUCCGGAUUCACUGGGUGUAAAGGGAGCGUAGACGGCGACGCAAGUCUGGAGUGAAAGCCCGGGGCCCAACCCCGGGACUGCUCUUGGAACUGCGCGGCUGGAGUGCAGGAGGGGCAGGCGGAAUUCCUGGUGUAGCGGUGAAAUGCGUAGAUAUCAGGAGGAACACCGGUGGCGAAGGCGGCCUGCUGGACUGCGACUGACGUUGAGGCCCGAAAGCGUGGGGAGCAAACAGGAUUAGAUACCCCGGUAUGG
rnacentral:rRNA from 1 species